UGCCCCUGACUCUGGAAUAACCGUGGGAAACGACGGCUAAUACCGGAUAUGAGACGUCCACGCAUGUGAGCGUCUGGAAAGAUUUAUCGGUCUGGGAUGGACUCGCGGCCUAUCAGCUUGUUGGUGGGGUAAUGGCCCACCAAGGCGACGACGGGUAGCCGGCCUGAGAGGGCGACCGGCCACACUGGGACUGAGAUACGGCCCAGACUCCUACGGGAGGCAGCAGUGGGGAAUAUUGCACAAUGGGCGCAAGCUGAUGCAGCGACGCCGCGUGGGGGGAUGAAGGCCUUCGGGUUGUAAACCCUUUCAGCAGGGAAGAAGCGAAAGUGACGGUACCUGCAGAAGAAGCGCCGGCUAACUACGUGCCAGCAGCCGCGGUAAUACGUAGGGCGCAAGCGUUGUCCGGAAUUAUUGGGCGUAAAGAGCUCGUAGGCGGUUUGUCGCGUCUGCUGUGAAAACCCGAGGCUCAACCUCGGGCUUGCAGUGGGUACGGGCAGACUAGAGUGCGGUAGGGGUGACUGGAAUUCCUGGUGUAGCGGUGGAAUGCGCAGAUAUCAGGAGGAACACCGAUGGCGAAGGCAGGUCACUGGGCCGCAACUGACGCUGAGGAGCGAAAGCAUGGGGAGCGAACAGGAUUAGAUACCCUGGUAGUCCAUGCCGUAAACGUUGGGCACUAGGUGUGGGGCUCAUUCCACGAGUUCCGUGCCGCAGCAAACGCAUUAAGUGCCCCGCCUGGGGAGUACGGCCGCAAGGCUAAAACUCAAAGGAAUUGACGGGGGCCCGCACAAGCGGCGGAGCAUGCGGAUUAAUUCGAUGCAACGCGAAGAACCUUACCAAGGCUUGACAUACACCGGAAAAGUGCAGAGAUGUGCUCCCCGCAAGGUCGGUGUACAGGUGGUGCAUGGUUGUCGUCAGCUCGUGUCGUGAGAUGUUGGGUUAAGUCCCGCAACGAGCGCAACCCUCGUCCUAUGUUGCCAGCACGUUAUGGUGGGGACUCAUAGGAGACUGCCGGGGUCAACUCGGAGGAAGGUGGGGAUGACGUCAAAUCAUCAUGCCCCUUAUGUCUUGGGCUUCACGCAUGCUACAAUGGCCGGUACAAAGGGCUGCGAUACCGCAAGGUGGAGCGAAUCCCAAAAAGCCGGUCUCAGUUCGGAUUGGGGUCUGCAACUCGACCCCAUGAAGUCGGAGUCGCUAGUAAUCGCAGAUCAGCAACGCUGCGGUGAAUACGUUCCCGGGCCUUGUACACACCG
rnacentral:rRNA from 1 species